UACGAAGGGUGCAAGCGUUGUCCGGAUUUAUUGGGCGUAAAGAGCGUGUAGGCGGCUAGGUAGGUCCGUUGUGAAAACUCGAGGCUCAACCUCGAGACGCCGGUGGAAACCAUCUAGCUAGAGUCCGGAAGAGGAGAGUGGAAUUCCUGGUGUAGCGGUGAAAUGCGCAGAUAUCAGGAAGAACACCCGUGGCGAAGGCGGCUCUCUGGGACGUGACUGACGCUGAGACGCGAAAGCGUGGGAGCGAACAGG
rnacentral:rRNA from 1 species